UGCUUUUGGGUGUUUAAGAACAUAUGAGC
rnacentral:piRNA from 1 species